rnacentral:lncRNA from 1 species
AGCAAAUGAGUAAUUGUGAGAAAUGAAUGCAAAGUCUUUCUUUGACAAAGUAAGCAUGUCAUAAACCUAAGUUGGAGUCUUAUCUUUGUUUUGACUGAAGGCUUUACCAUGUCAAAUAGACAUGUAGAAGCAAAAUCAAGAAAAGGCUGGAUCUAGAGCCUCUAUGGGGUGCUAUAUAAAAGUCUCAGCACUUGGUUGACGAGUUGAUAUUCUAAUUUAUUAUCUGCACUUCUAGUUUACUUCAUAGGAUAUCAUCACUCAGAGAAGGCACACAAUCCAAAUCUCAAACACCUUUUGCAUCUUAGAAAAGACUACUGUAUAUUCCACAAAGCAUACCUCAUGCUGGCAUUCUCUUUCCUUAAAAUUAAUGAUUGCGUUCUAAGGCUUGCUGUGAAAUCCAAACUCCUCAAAAUGAUGUGGAGAGUCUUGUUGAUGAAAAAGGGGCUUUAUAUGUUAAUGAGACUUUAUUUUCUUUAUUUCUUGACAACAUAUUCCCUCAGUGGUUUGUAAAUGGCUUAGAUUCCCUUUACAAAAUAUUCAUUUAUGACAAUGCUGUUCUGUCUGACACUUUUCCUGAUUUGUUCAUUGGCCUCUCCUACUUUUAAUUCUGGUUUUGUCUCAAGUUUUAAGGGAUCCAGAAAACCUUUACCUUACAUCGUCAGUCUCUUGUCUCAUCAGUUAUACCAUAGUGACACCAAUGCCUUUCUUUUUUCCUGACUCCCUCUCUGUUUCAUCGGGUGAUCAGUGAGUUGAGGAAGACUCCAUGUAGUCUGACUUAUUUUUAUCCCCCUUUACCUAGAGAAAAAAGCUGUAUGAUCACUACAUUUUGGUGAGUGAAACAUCAAAAGAAUUGGGAUAAAUCUUUUAGAAAGCUAUGUUUGUGUCCUGUGAAUGUAAAUAUAUUGAAACCCAAUCACCCAUAUAGUGAUAGUAGGAGGUGGGACUACUGAGGAGAUUAAACUGUGGGAGCAAAGGAGCAGCCAUGAAUACAUUUCAGAAAGAAGGACUGGAUUGUAUUGCUUAUAUAACAACACAGAUAGGAAAUAUUAAUCAUGGGGAACAGCCAUGAUAUCCAUUGCACCUGGUUCUUAGAUAUCCCAGUUUGGAUUUUCCAACUCUGAGAACUAAACAUGGAUUGAUUUUAAGCUACAUGCAUAUGACAUUUAGUUAUAUCUAGUUGAGACAACUUCAAUGGAAAGAGUGAUUGACAUAGACAUAGUACAAUCACUGUAAUGUCUCAUGGAGGUGGCAAUAAUCACUUCUCUAUGGAAGGAAAAGGUCACAAUAAGAAGAAGGCAAGUUGCCUACAAAGCCUAAACUCUGCUUCUAACUGUUGAUUCUGGAGCUCUCUCAUAGGUAAUGCUAUCUUAAAUUUUGUUAUUCUAUGGGUAAGGAUGUAUAUAUGUGUUAUAUGCCUUUUAUUCAAGAGAUUAUUAUUGAUUUUUAUAAAUUUAAUACAGGGACUGGCAGGAUCCAUGUACACAGUAGGCAUUUUAUUGUCAUGUACAUGAUAAACAUUUUACUGGAUGAAAUAGCCUUGGAAAGAAGGCUGUGCAAAAAGUAUUACAAUUAAAAACCAAAUGAUGUGACAUCUAUUACCUAUUCUUUCUACAUACUGGUCAUAAUAUUUCUAUAACAUGUAAAGAAUUUGACACUAUAAAGGAUAAGUCUUACUUGGCAUUUCCUUUUAUCUGUCAGUAGAAUUAAAUGUUCUUCAACAGAAGUCUCCACAUUUUUGUGGCUAUACAUACCAAUGAAUUCAAACAGUUUAAAUACUGUGGAGGGUUGAGAGCAAGAGGUAAAAUGUAAACUCAUUAGAUUUAUAAUUUAAAAUUCCUGAUUGUGGUAAGAUAUUUUAAGCAUUAGGAUGAGAUUAGAUCGAUCAUUGAACAAGAUUUGUCAUAAAAAUCUGUAUGUAUUGAGCUAUAUUCAUGAUCUACAAAAUCUAGUUUGGAGAUCUGAAACCAAGUCAAUAUCUAAAAAGUGACUAGAAAUACAAGUAUUCAUUUCUAGAUAUGCAAGCCAGGUGCUGCUAGUAAGUCUCUGUAUUUGAGUACCUCAUCUGUAUGAUGCAGGAUGUAUGUGACACUAACUGAAAAGAAUCUGUUCAGAGCACUAUGGGGAAGCUAACAGGAAGUGUGUGUGUGUGUGUGUGUGUGUGUGUGUGUGUGUGUGUGUGUGUGUGUGUGUGUGUCUGUGUCUGUGUCUGUGUGUGUGUGUGAGAGAGAGAGAGAGAGAGAGAGAGAGAGAGAGAGAGAGAGAGAGAGAGAGAGAGAGAGAAGCACUUAGGAUUGAAAAAUUGUUUUCAGCAAUCCUUUUGGCAUCCCUUAAGAAUGGACUUUUUCCAAUUGAGCAGCAGGUUCUUACCCAAGGGCAGGUCCAUGACUAGAUCUGACACCUAGACUACAUCUAUAAAUCUACACACCUACAAUACAUGCCUAUAGGAAAACAAAAACAAAUAAAAAGCCAAAAUCAAAUAAAAAUAAAAACAAGGAAUCGCUUUUCUAUGCAUUUGCGAUAUACAUAGCUGCCACUUAAAAACCCCUACUGAAUGUUGAUCACUGUCUUCUUUUCGACUGUUUAUGAAACCCUCAUGUUUUGUAACAUUUUUUCCAUCAUGUCACUGUUUCAAUCUCUCUGUUAUUUUCAUUUGGAGCAAGGAAGUUGAGUCACUUAUUAAGGCCUUUGGAGGAUGAGUACUCAAAGAAGAAGUCCUCAUCUACUUCUUUAAUUCCUAGUAUUUGCUGGCUUACACCCAGACGGUACGUCUUGAAGCAUUGCUUGCUUUAUGUUUAGGCCCUCCUGUUUAGACUAGUAAAAGGCAAAAGACGCUCAGAAAACACUAUAGCAUUAAAGGGGUAGUUUUAUUUAAAUGAAUAUUUGGAGGGAGUAAUACUUUUCUUUUUCACUCAAAUGCCCACAGAAUAAAAGGAGCCCUUUUGAAUAAAAUUCAGUAAACAAUAAUAAUCUCUCCUUUCCAGAUCAAAAUAUAGGAACAAAGAUUAAGUGGGAAUUUCUGAUACAUAUGAUUAUUCUCUGACCUAUCACACAAGG